rnacentral:lncRNA from 1 species
UUGAAAAUACUGAGUUGUAGGCUUGGUGAGCCAAAGUUGAUUAUAAGUUGAUUUUGUUGAAAACAUUGAUGUGUUGUUGUUGUUAUUAUGUUGUCGAAAUUUCAAAGUCGUAUGUGCCAUGUACAUUCAUAUGCAUGAAGUCGGAGCUUUGCUCACACCACGUUGGCCUGGAUUGGCAAAAAUCGGAGCUUUGCUCACACCACGUUGGCCUGGAUUGGCAAAUUUUA